rnacentral:lncRNA from 1 species
AGGGUGUUUUCGGUGAGAAUCUGCUGAUCAAGGAACUGGUUUAUCAUCCCUUCGAGGCGUCCCAAACGUCUGCUGAUCCUCAAGUUGUCCUCUUGCUGACUAGGGUUCUGCAAUGGAGGAUUACAGGCGUGUGGCUCGAAGUAGGUUGGAGGAGGGCCAUAAGGAUCUUCCCGGCGUCGAAUAGUCUCUCUGCGCCGGUGGUAAGGGUGGUUUGGCUGGCUGUA